AUUGAACGCUGGCGGCAGGCCUAACACAUGCAAGUCGAACGAGUGGCGGACGGGUGAGUAAUGUCUGGGAAACUGCAUGAUGGAGGGGGAUAACUACUGGAAACGGUAGAUAAUACCGCAUAACAUCAAGUGUGCCCAGAGUGGAUUAGCUUGUUGGUGGGGUAACGGCUCACCAAGGCGACGAGCCCUAGCAGGUCUGAGAGGAGGACCAGCCACACUGGAACGUGGACACGGUCCAGACUCCUACGGGCGGCAGCGUUGGGUAAUAUUGCGCAAUGGGCGAAAGCCUUAUGCAGCCAUGCCGCGUGGAUGAAGAAGGCCUUCGGGUUGUAAAGUACUUUCAGCGGGGAGGCGUUACCCGCAGAAGAAGCACCGGCUAACUCCGUGCCAGCAGCCGCGGUAAUUC
rnacentral:rRNA from 1 species